rnacentral:rRNA from 1 species
ACUCCUACGGGGAGGUAGCAGUGGGGAAUAUUGCACAAUGGGGGGAAACCCUGAUGCAGCCAUGCCGCGUGUGUGAAGAAGGCCUUCGGGUUGUAAAGCACUUUCAGUAGGGAGGAAGGUAGUGUAGUUAACACCUGCAUUAUUUGUACGUUACCUACAGAAGAAGCACCGGCUAACUCCGUGCCAGCAGCCGCGGUAAUACGGGAGGGUGCGAGCGUUAAUCGGAAUUACUGGGCGUAAAGCGCAUGCAGGCGGCCUGUUAAGUCAGAUGUGAAACGCCCGGGGUCUUAACCUCGGAAUUGCAUUUGAAACUGGCAGGCUAGAGUCUGUAGAGGGGUUAGAAUUUCAGGUGUAGCGGUGAAAUGCGUAGAGAUCUGAAGGAA